UACUUUUUUUUGUCACUAGUAGACCAACCAAUUGGUAGUACAAUGUCACGUAAUCAGGUCUCAAAAAAAUUUCAAUAUGGGGUAAAAAUAAAUUAUCUCGCGGGCAUUCAAAAUCAACGUGUUAUAAAAUAUCCAUCUUUUUUGCUCCUCAGCUGAAAAAAAGAAUAAUUUGUUUUGGCUAUGGGGAAGAAGGUCAAGGAGACGCCAUUUGCAAUUCGCGAACUGGUAAUCAAGCACCAUCAGGGCGAUGCCAAUGGGAAGAAAACCCAACAAGAAAUUGCAAAUUUGCUUAAAAUACCUCGUUCAACAGUUCAAUAUAUAAUUCGGAAGCACAAAUUAUGUGGACUAAUUGUAAACAAGCAAGGAAGAGGUCGAAAGCCAAUAUUCUCUAAGAGAGAAAAAAGUGCCAUUAUCAAGAAAGUGAAGGUCAACCCAAAAUUGACAAUUUCUAAGAUCAGAGAUCAAGUUGCAAAUGAAACUGGAAAACUAACCUGUCGUAACACAAUCAUUAAAGUAAUCAAGUCUGAAGGAUUUAAGAGUUGCAGAGCCAGGAAGAAGCCACUCAUUUCAAAGGUCAACCAGAAGAAACGGAUUUCGUUUGCAAAGGAGCAUGUGAAUAAGUUUUUGGAAUUCGAUCUUGUGGUCUGAUGAAAGCAAAUACAACUUAUUUGGGUCGGAUGGACGUGCCAGAGUUUGGAGAAAAUCAGACGAGGCUCUAAAAUUGAAGAACCUCAACCCCACCGUAAAACACGGCGGUGGAAGCGUUAUGGUUUGAGGCUGCUUUAGCUACGCAGGGACUGGAGGUCACGAAUUCUUAAACGGGACUAUGGACCAACACGUGUACCAGGGUAUAUUGUCCCGUAAUAUAAAGCAAUCUGUAGCAAAACUUGGUCUUGGGCGCCGCUACACGUUCCAACAAGAUCGUGAU